CCAUGGACUUACAGUUACCUCUGUAGUGGGCAAAUAAACCCAACUACUCUUAACAGGGAUUCAGUUGCUGAUGUCCAGUUGCAAGGGUUAUUGGACCAGGUUGAAAUGUCAACUGAACAUUCAAUUGAAGGCCUAUCUGAUGAAAUCUUAAAUUGCGGAUAUACUGGAGCUAUAUCCGUGCAAAACAAGGAGUCCAUUGUUCGUGCCAUCAUACUCCAUGCAGUGCUGAGGUUGCAGCCUAUGUUGGAUCAAUUGAGGGAAGGCCUGCAGCUGUAUGACCUUCUUCUGCUAAUUGGGCAGUACCCAGAUAUCUGCCAGCCCCUGUUUGUUCCUGGGGAAGAUGUAAAAGUCAAUGCAGAGUUUGUCAUGGCAUCCAU